CAAGGGGACAGAAGGCCCUGGAGGAGCCGGGGUGGUGGGAAGCCCUGAGGAAUUGGGUGUCAGAGGCCAUAAGCAGCCCCCGGGCAGCCGCCUGGUCCCUUACACCUGGCUGCUCCGGUGCUGCCCCAAAAUAUCCCCCAGGCCUGCAGCAGAAGGCCUGGAGGCUGGGACACCACCCCAGCGGGAGGGUGGGGACAGCCCGAGGUGCCCAGGCUGGGCUGGCUGGGGACAUGGAGGGCAGGGGGUGCUGCCAGGCCACGGCCACUGGGUGCCUCCAGGAAGGGGCAGUGGGCAGAGGCAGGGCUGGCGGCCAGCCCGGGCCCUCGCGGCUGCCCAGGCCACGCUGCUGUGACCGAGGCCCCCCUGACACAGAGCUCGGGGCCCACAGAGCUGCUGCCACCAUGGAGAGGGUGGCGAUGUCUCCUCCAGCAGGGCUGCCCAGUGGCUGCUGCCCAAGCGGCUCUGGAGCCCACAGAAACAGCAGCAGAGUGUGCCCAGGAACAGCAGCANNNNNNNNNNNNNNNNNNNNCCCCACCGCAGCUCGGCCCCAGCCCCGGCUGCUGCCCCGGCAGCGGCACCCGGGCCCGGCGCCCUGGAUCCCCGGCUGCCCUCGGGGCUGCUGCUGCCGGCCUCUGGCAGCCGUGCCCUUGGGCUGGGUCAGGAUGCGGCAAGGGCCCGGGCUGAGGCAUGCCGGGGCAGGAGGCCGUGUGGCCACAGGGCUGGCAGCGCCGCUGGCAGGGAGCUGUGCUGCUGGGACCCUGACAGGCUCUGUGUUCUCAGGGAUGGCCGGGGAGCAGCUGAGGGGGCAGCAGGCAGAGCUCCAGGUGUUGUGCAGAGCCCUCGAACGCCUGACGGAGGACAGAAGUGGUGCCGUGUCAGACCUGGCACUUGAGACGCUGUAUGUCCUCCGGGCCAUCCAGAGUGCCCGAUAUUCCAUCCUGCAGAGGAUGCAAGACCAAAUCCUCAGGGCAUGGAGGACACGGCCUCGUCUGUCGGGCCUGGGCUGGCUGCGCUGCUGGAGAUGUGCUCAGCGCUGA
rnacentral:lncRNA from 1 species